rnacentral:rRNA from 1 species
AACGUAGGAGACAAACGUUAUCCGGAUUUACUGGGCGUAAAGGGCGUGUAGGCGGUUUGUUAAGUCUGGCGUGAAAGCUCUCGGCUAAACCGGGAGAGGUCGUUGGAUACUGGCAAACUAGAGGACGGUAGAGGCGUGUGGAAUUUCGGGUGUAGUGGUGAAAUGCGUAGAGAUCCGGAGGAACACCAGUGGCGAAGGCGACACGCUGGGCCGUACCUGACGCUAAAGCGCGAAAGCAUGGGGAGCAAACGGG